rnacentral:rRNA from 1 species
CCUACGGGAGGCUGCAGUGGGGAAUAUUGGACAAUGGGCGAAAGCCUGAUCCAGCCAUGCCGCGUGUGUGAAGAAGGCCUUCGGGUUGUAAAGCACUUUCAGUGGGGAAGAAAGCCUUGGGGCUAAUACCCUCGAGGAAGGACAUCACCCACAGAAGAAGCACCGGCUAACUCCGUGCCAGCAGCCGCGGUAAUACGGAGGGUGCGAGCGUUAAUCGGAAUUACUGGGCGUAAAGCGCGCGUAGGCGGUCUGAUAAGCCGGUUGUGAAAGCCCCGGGCUCAACCUGGGAACGGCAUCCGGAACUGUCAGGCUAGAGUGCAGGAGAGGAAGGUAGAAUUCCCGGUGUAGCGGUGAAAUGCGUAGAGAUCGGGAGGAAUACCAGUGGCGAAGGCGGCCUUCUGGACUGACACUGACGCUGAGGUGCGAAAGCGUGGGUAGCAAACAGGAUUAGAUACCCCAGUCGUC